UCAUUUAGAUUGGUUUUGGAUGGCAAUUUCUUAACGGGUCGGAGUUAGGUUAAAAUUUUGGUUCUAAUAAGUAACAGUACGCAUCUCAAUUGAACAAACUCCGCUCGACCCGACCCGUUUAAUGCUAUCUCGCUCUCCUUUCUCUCUGCCGCUGGCAAUCCUACUCUCUCUCACCCCGCCGCUGCCGGUGGUCGUGGGACCGCCGGUGGUGAUUUUCCGGCCGGCGAUUUCCUGGGAGAUGGAGGUUUGCGGGGUAGCGGUUCGGGCCCCAAUCCCUUUCCUUUCGUUCUCCCUCGCCCUUCCUCGUCUCUCGGUUCCGUGGCCGACUUGAUGAAGAAGCAGCAGCAGGAGAUUGCAUCCAUGGCCGGAUGCUGUAUCCUUUGCUAUCUUAUUCAUUAACAUGAUCGUGUUUGGAGCGCUGGUCUUUCUGCCCGUUGAUUGAGAUGCAUUGGGCACAACAAUUGGUGUUGGGAGACAUCAAAUGAUCCACGAAACCAGGUUUAUCCUCAGCUCUUUGGAGUAGGAACUUGUUGCUUGCCACAAAAGACCUGCUUCAGGGACCGGAGACCGUUCAUGACUUGUCUGAACACACAAGCUCCUGCACCACAGACACUCGACCUGAGGUUUCGACGCCGUCGGCCCCGUCUUCCUCCUCGAUCGGCUUCCUCCAUGACCUUGUAGAUCAAGAACCUCGCCCGCCAGUGCCGCCGCUCCUCGGGGUCCUCCUUGUCGACCCUUGCGUAAGGGUGUGCCAUCCUCAACAAGCUCAUCUCUCAUGAAGAAGCGGAAGAAGAUAAGAGAGGGAAGGCCACCAAGAAGACAGAUUACAUAGCGAUCUUCCUUUGGAUGAAGCAAUUGUCCGUACUGCGAUGAAGGCAAUGCUUGCCUUCCUAGGCUACAUCGACAGCAGAUGAAGCCAAGAGUGGGAGGCGCAAUGAGGUACAAGCAAUUGCAUGUUCCUUGUCAGAUCAAUUCCUGUCGGCUACGUGUUUGUUUUUUGGCUUCAAUGACUCCUCAGUCAUUAUUAUAUCAUAGUAAAUUACCAAUAGAUCCCAAUCAAACAUUAAUUUCAUUAUAUAUAUAUAAUUCGAUCAACCUAUAUAUAUAAAUAUAUCAUUUGAUUGGUGUGA